UACGCCACUGCUAAAAUCUAUAGCGGUAUCCGUUUUAUAUGUAGUAUUUGUCCUAUGACAUAUACCCGACGCGAUACUCUUGCAAAACAUAUGAAAAAUAAACAUGGUAUGUAUUUAACAACACUUAUAUAAUAUAUUUAUUUCUUUUUAAUUGUGUUAUAAUAUUUUCGUAAGGUAUUGAACGUGUCUAACCGGUAGUAAAUCGUCCUGAAAUAGCCCCACAGCAUGCAGUUCCAUGGAACGAAAUCGAAAUUGCUCCGCAAAUUGUUGUACCAGACGUUCAAGCCAGACCGUCAAUCGACGAAGAAUUAUGGGUUGAUGACGAUGAAUUGCUUAGUUUCAUAGCAGACGGUGUGGAGAGUGCAUAUUUAUGCGAUAAUUCAGGGCCUGCUUCACUUAAAAGAUCGAAUAACUCUGAGGCUGUAGGAGUUCAAAAAAGGGCUCGUCUUAACAUUGUCGGAAAUACACCGGGUUUUAUACGAAUAGGAUCAUCUUUUAAUAAUACCAUCAACUGGUAUUAUAAAAAGAACAUUAGAAGUAUUUUCAAUUAUCUAGCGUUCCUCAUUUCAAUCAAAUAAGAACUACUCGAAAUUUUAAAAUCAUCGGCUCUACCAGUAAAAUUCAAUCUGAAAUUAGAAGCGACUUACAACAGGCCACAUAUCGAAAACUCAUCCGUCAAUAGGGCAUUUAAGACCUCUGCCAGAGCGAUUUUCGCGGAUACGAAUAUCGGAGAUAUAGUUGACCACAUGUUUGUAAAUAUUUUAACUGAGGAAGAUACAUAUCAGGGCAAAGGAAGCGGAUUUUCACUCGAGGCUAUAGAUGGUGUAUUAUUAGGGAAAACAAUGCAGUCUAUGAGGAAGCGAAUAAAGAUGGAAGUAGUAUCUAGUGAAAGUAGGCUACAGAAACUAAUAAACCGUACAACGUUCAAGUAUUGCUCAGAUUUUGAGAAUCAGAAUCUAUCGGCUGUAACAUUGGAGAAUAAAAUCAUUGAUUUUUACAAGCCAAUCUAUAUAGGCUUUGCAGUACUUGAUGUUUCAAAAUCGCUAAUGUAUGAUUAUCAUUAUAAUGUUAUGCAGGCACAUUACAAAAAUGAUAUUCAUCUGAUGUACACUGAUACAGAUUCAUUGGUAUAUUAUAUUGAGACAGAAGAUUUCUAUAAAGACCUCAAAGACAAUCCAAUCUUGAUUGAUCGGAUGGAUACAGCCAACCCACCAUCAACUCACCCAUGUUAUAUCGCAGUAUGAAGAGCUCGAUAGGAUGAUUACAUAUAUAUCAAAGGCAUAUUUUUAAUAUUUAAUAUUUAUUACGUUAGUAUUUUAAACAAAAAUUAUAACGUUUUAUAUUAUACAUUUUCUCGAUAUCUUAAAAUGGACAGCAAAACAUUUACUGAUAUCCUGUAUACUAUUCUUGAGGGUGAUUUAACAAUUAUAUUCAGGUCUUCUUGUUCACAGGAAUUCCUAAUUUAUAGUCAACCAUACUUCAGAACGGCAUGUUGUACAUCGUAAUUCCUAUGCAACACCUGUAGAGCAAGGAAAGCGAAUUUUUGUAAAAAAUAUAAUUUAGUAGGUAAAGCGAGGUGUAACACAAUAUUCGAAAAUAAAUUCAUAAGAUUAUUAUGGCUUACAGCUAAAAUAGCUGAGUAUUCGGCAUACGAUGCAGAAAUAUUAUUAAGAAGGCUAUACGAAAAAAUAUUUAAUAUAGAAUGCGAUUCUGGUCAUGCUCGAUGGAAGAAUCAUUUGGAGUCUAAAAGUAUAAUUAAGUACACCACAUGAGAUGAGAAUUUAGUGUAUUGGACAAAACUAAUAUUUACCAUUAUAGAACAAAAUAUUAUAGAAUAUGAUGGUGUUUCAUUAAUAAGUUUAGAUUUGCAUAAUUUUAAAACUAAUUGUAAACCUAAAAAUGUUUUACUUGAUGUUUUAGGUAUUGAUUAUUUUUUUAAUAAUAUAGAGCAGUUAGAGAUGGAUAUUAGUAAGGUAUUUCGGUACAAAUAAUGAAGAGCGUUGGAAUUAACCUUACAUGUUUUCGCAUGUACAUAAGUAUAUUAUCCAUAAUAUCAAUUUU